rnacentral:misc_RNA from 1 species
CAGCCACAGUGUGACGCCAUCCCCUCAUCUGCUUCGCGUCUUUCAGUGAAGAUGCCCAUCCCUCUCUCUCUCCUGGAAGUUCCUUUCACGUCUGUGUAGGAGGGCAUGCGUCUUCGUUGUAUGCCAAUACUUGUUUUCCACGAUCACGGAGGACGCCUCCGUGCGCGGUAUCGCAGGGCCCAGUGCACCUCCCACUCUGUCUGCGGGGGGAGGGGGGGGCUGGGCAGCCCCUCCUCUAUCCCCCCUCAUCGCUGCCAACGCCGAACCACUUCUGGUGGUGACAGGGCCAGGCACCCACGACACGGUGUGGAGGACAGAGCGAUGGAUCGCUGCUGACGUCGGCGGCCCGGUCCUGGGUGGGGUGGCGUCGGAGCGCCCCGCGACCGUGAAGAGGUCUGUGCCACACCCACCUGAUAGGCAGAGUGCCCGCGUGACUGGAGCGUGUGUCCCACCCGGCCCCUCGCAGGGCCGACGGCUGGUGUGGGGCGCCGGAGUGCCACCCCGGGGGAGAUGCACCCGGUGGCGACCGGCAUAGUGGGAUGGGCGUAUGUGUGCGCGCAUCUCGUGACUCGGUGCGUGCCAGCUCAGUGCUUGCCGAAUGCUCGUGUUGCCUGCUGUCGGUUUUCUUCCCCUUAUGCUUCCUCCCUGCUGCGGUGAAGCAUACGACGCAGGACGGAGAGAGCACCCCGCGCUUGCUCUCUCUGCCUUUGCAGAGGCGCCUCCCUUUGCUUUCUAUAUCAUCGAAAACACAACGCCUUCAAAUCCCAGAGAAGAAGCGUGGCUCUCUUUAGUUCUCUCAGCCCUUGUGUGUGUGUGUGUGUGUGCUGGGGGCUUUGGGGCGUCAGUUUGGCUCGUUCUUAUCGGCCUACGCGCAGUAUGGCACACACACACACACAUAAAUAUGCGCGCCGUUGGAUCCGUCUGCCUCGCCAACUGAGGGGGGGGCUAAUCGCGAACGGACGCCCCUCAACACGGCAUGACGGGCCGAAGGGGCUCUCCUCCCGCUGCGUCCAGCACGGCGGAUGACGCAGUCCGGCUUGCUACCCUUUUUUUCCGCAACGUCGCACCUUUGGUGAAUUAUCGCCGGCUCCUCGCUGGGAAGACGGCCAGCAGCUGGGACGAAGUCUGCCGUCUGACCCCGCAGAGCUUCCUCAGCGUCUCUAGCGCCAAAGUAGCGCCUAACCAGGGGGCGGAGGCGAAGGCAAGUCGGGGUGCGGCCCUUCCGUCCAGACGUCUUCGGCGGCGUGUGUGGCGACGGUGUGGCAGCACUGACCGGCGUGGACCGCAAAAGCGAUACGGGAAAAGAGGCGGGAUGAGUCCAUCUUUCCGUCCCCAACAGCAAGGAUCUGGGAGCUCCUUCUCCCAUGCGACUGCUCAGCGCACAGGAUCAAGUGAAGCGGGUGCUCAUGCAUGCGCUGCAAAUCCUCCCAAAGCCCCGACCCCUUCUUUCGAUCGUGUCACUACUCGAAACGCACGCUCCUAACGUUACGCUUCGUGAGGGAUCGGGCAGAGCGAUACGCCGGGGAGCAGCUGCUGGUGGCGCGUCACCUCGGGAUCGAGUCGUUGGCCCGCCCCCUUUCAUGGACGAGGCGUGAGCCCCUACGGUCGCCGGGGACACAAGAAGAGUGCACCAAACCUGUUGCGUGCAACUGCAGCAGUGGAACCGGCAAAGCCAACAACAAAAAAAAGCGUGCAGGAGCUUCUGAGCCUCGCCGACGAAUGCCUCCGCGCCCCUUUCCGCUGCAGACGCCGCCACGUUAACGCCUGCGGACGUCUCGGAGCCCUCCGCAACAGAACUCAGAGUGGCGGGCUCCGCCUUCACGGUGCUCGAUGAGAAACAUGGGUGUCUACCGAGGCAGCUCCUUCUCUGGCCCGACGAAGAAGUGGAUGGCGUCUGAGGGUCGGCGGCGCCGGACUCGAUCUAAACGCCAUCUCAUGGGAACGUGCCCCGCAUGGGAUCAGGGCGGGGGGUCACGAACCUUACAGGCUUCUCCUUUCCAGGUGCCUAUCCCAGUGGAGUUGAGACCGCUUUUCUCUUUGCAGGCCGACACCGGUUGGAUCUUGCAGCUCCAGUGCCCUACCGACGGGUUCGAGUGUGAGGUCUGGAAUUAGGCAGGUGACUACAGGCUCGGCUGCUGGACACCCCAUUCUAUGCGCCUUUCCCUCAGCCCGAACGUGAACGGUCGACGUGCGGAUCGUCCAGAUCGAGGCAGCGGGGCCAUCUCAAGCGGUAAAGAGCGUAGCGAAUGCCGCCAGAGAGUUCUCCGUCACUGCGGGGCCCGCGCAACGUGCGGGGCUGAUAACGCUAGGCAAAAAAGAGGGCAACAUGAAAAGGGGUUGGCGACGCUGUGGCGCAUCGAGUUACACCGAGGGUGUUUUCUGUCCAUCUUAGCGCGCCGUUGAUGUGCACCCGAAUGUGACCCGCAAAGGACAUGUAGAGUGCGCUUUCCGGCUACGUCC